UACGGGGGGGGCAAGCGUUUGUUCGGAAUUACUGGGCGUAAAGGGCGCGUAGGCGGUCUACUAAGUUGGAUGUGAAACUCUGGGCUUAACCCAGAGCCUGCAUUCAAAACUGAUAGGCUGGAGUUCUGGAGGGAUAGCGGAAUUCCUGGUGUAGCGGUGAAAUGCGUAGAUAUCUGGAGGAACACCGGUGGCGAAGGCGGCAUCCUGGACCGAUAUUGACGCUGAGGAGCGAAAGCGUGGGGAGCGAACAGGA
rnacentral:rRNA from 1 species